UGGAGGUGAAUCCCAUACUGAAAAUGCACUUUCAGAGUUCAUCCAUUUGUCUGUCAUAUCAGGAUAAUGACGAUCAAUCACAUCCUUGAGACUCUCUGUAGUAUUCACCCAUUCAAGCCCCUUCUUCGUGUAAAUCGUUUCAUUGAAAUCACUCGUGAAAAACCUAUCCGCUUCUAAUCGCCU
rnacentral:sRNA from 1 species